UUCCACAUGAUCGCAUGUGAUUGUGGGAAAGAUUCUAUCGGCGUGGGAUGGGGUCGCGUCCUAUCAGCUUGUUGGUGAGGUAACGGCUCACCAAGGCUUCGACGGGUAGCCGGCCUGAGAGGGCGACCGGCCACAUUGGGACUGAGAUACGGCCCAGACUCCUACGGGAGGCAGCAGUGGGGAAUAUUGCACAAUGGGCGCAAGCCUGAUGCAGCGACGCCGCGUGGGGGAUGGAGGCCUUCGGGUUGUAAACCUCUUUUGUUUGGGAGCAAGCCUUCGGGUGAGUGUACCUUUCGAAUAAGCGCCGGCUAACUACGUGCCAGCAGCCGCGGUAAUACGUAGGGCGCAAGCGUUAUCCGGAUUUAUUGGGCGUAAAGGGCUCGUAGGCGGCUCGUCGCGUCCGGUGUGAAAGUCCAUCGCUUAACGGUGGAUCUGCGCCGGGUACGGGCGGG
rnacentral:rRNA from 1 species